ensembl:snRNA U6 U6 spliceosomal RNA
GUGCUUGCUUUGGCAAUACAUAUACUAAAAUUGAAACAAUACAGAGAAGAUUAGCAUGGCCCCUGUGCAAGGAUGACAUGCAAAUUCAUAAAGCGUUCCAUAUUUUU